rnacentral:sRNA from 1 species
CUUGAUAAUAAUGCAUGCUUUAGUAUAGGAUUUCUCGGCUUCUCCGGUUAUCUUAGCUCUAAGUAUAGAGAGU